UACGGGGGGGGCAAGCGUUGUUCGGAAUUACUGGGCGGAAAGGGCUCGUAGGCGGCCAACUAAGUCAGACGUGAAAUCCCUCGGCUUAACCGGGGAACUGCGUCUGAUACUGGAUGGCUUGAGUUUGGGAGAGGGAUGCGGAAUUCCAGGUGUAGCGGUGAAAUGCGUAGAGAUCGGGUGGAACACCAGCGGCGAAGGCGAGUCCCUGGACAGAUCCUGACGCUGAGGCACGAAGGUCAGGGGAGCAAACGGG
rnacentral:rRNA from 1 species